rnacentral:lncRNA from 1 species
GGAUGAAGCUGCCCGGCGCCAUUUUGCUUGUGGGCUGCCGCCCGCCGUUGCCUCUCCGCGGAGGCUCGAAGAUAGCAAACUGGAGGCGGUGAGGGGGACGGAAUCUCUGUCUUUCUGACAACAGAUGCAUUCAACAAUCCACCGAAGGUUUGAGGAAGUGUCGGUAUUCGGUGGGACUGGUUCUUUCCCCCUUUCCCCCAGUGGCCCUCAAGUCUGGAUAUAGGUGAGCUUGGGCAUGCCAGUAUUGGGUGCACGAACAAGGACAGCAGGGCUUGGGAACGAACUCCCUCCCGUCACCCUCCGAAAGCGAUACACCUUCUCCCCCUCCCAAACAACCCCAGUCCCGUCUCCCCGUUCCUCUCCCCCUCCUCCCCCAGCCCAGUCUGGCCUCCAGCGCUGGGUGAACCCGGUUGGGGUGUCACUCGACGCCCACUAGGGGCUGAGGAGGCUCCAGUGCGCAGGCUCCGGGCACCGGAUAAAAGCGGAGCUGGCGAGUCUAGUGCUGUCUCGAUGGAGGAGCAAGAAACGGAAGAGGUCGGGGGGAGAAGCAGCCGGAAAAAUGCAGCCACCGUCAACGCCGCCUCCCUGCCACCGUGCUUCGGGGUAAAAAGCUGCCGUUGCCGUCGGUGCAGUUGCCGUCGCUGCCUCCUAUACUUCUCUUGGCCUCGGGGAAGGAUUUCCCCACCGGUGGGACAAUGUGCGGGGAGGGGAGUGGGAAUUCCUUUAUAUGGCGGUGAUUAAACGAGGGAGGGACAGACAGUGAUCUCGAAGAAAAAAGGGGGAGACCAAAGAAUAAAAGAAGGGUUUCCCCACUAAAAUGACACGGCGAUUCCGGCUCUUGUUUUGGGGGUCUUUCCCCGAAAUGGUUUCCGUCUUCCCCUUGCCCCGCAGCGACCCAGAGCGCUGGGGGAAGCGGAGUGGGGAGAGGCAGAGGCGGUCUCGGCAGCCAAUCAGCGCCUGAUGUGUCCUGUCGGGCGCGUCGUGGUUGGCUGGCGAUGACCUCAUCCUGCAGCAGCGGGUGGGGCCAAAGCCGUAGGGGGAGGCUGUUGCAAAGGUAGAGAGGGAGAAGUGACGAUGGUGAUCGUUGCUGCCGCGGCCGAUAUGGAACCCAAGCAGUGGCGAAGGGAAUCGCAAGGCUCUUCCCUGACCAUUUUCUACUGUCCCUGCGCGAGGUGGACGCAAAGGUGUUAAAUGAGGUUGAAUAUAUUGACCAGAAAAGAAAAUAUUAUAGUCCUUUGUUGAAGAAGAGUUUUCUCAUACUGGAAAGAAAAAAAAUAAAAGAAAGAAACUUCAAAAACUUCAUGCUGCUUUCUGAAGUACUCCAGCCAAAGAAAAUAAUUCAGGUAUCAAGUUGGACUAGCUCAGAUGACUACAAAAUGGUUCAAGCGAUUCUCCUGCCUCAGCCUCCUGAGUAUCUGGGACUACAGAUAUGAGCCACCACGCCCGGCUAAUUUUUGUAUUUUUAGUAGAGACGGGGUUUCACGCCAUGUUGGGCAGGAUGGUCUCAAUCUCUUGAACUUGUGAUCUGCCUGCCUCAGCCUCCCAAAGUGCUGGGAUUCCAGGUGUGAGCUGACUAGUGUCUUUAUAAGAAGAGAUGAGGACACAUACGUGCACAGAGAGAAGACCACGUAAAGACACAGAGAGAAGGCAGUCAUCUACAUACCGAGAAGAUGGGUAUCAGAAGAAACCAACUCUGCCACACCUUGACCUUGGACAUCAAACCUCGGGAACUGUGCAGAAGCCAGUUUCUGUUGUUUAAGCCACCAAGUGUGUGGUGCUUCUUAUGGCAGCCCCAGCAAACUAAUAUACUGUUUCCAUUCAUCUUUAGGCUAUAUUACAGUACAGAUCGCUUACUGUAUUUUAAAGUCACUUAAAAUAAUUCAUCUCUGUAAAAUUAAAUCACUAAUUCAAUACACAGUUAAAAUUAUUUGUUUCAAU